rnacentral:rRNA from 1 species
GUCGAGCGGACAGAAGGGAGCUUGCUCCCGGAUGUUAGCGGCGGACGGGUGAGUAACACGUGGGUAACCUGCCUGUAAGACUGGGAUAACUCCGGGAAACCGGAGCUAAUACCGGAUAGUUCCUUGAACCGCAUGGUUCAAGGAUGAAAGACGGUUUCGGCUGUCACUUACAGAUGGACCCGCGGCGCAUUAGCUAGUUGGUGAGGUAACGGCUCACCAAGGCGACGAUGCGUAGCCGACCUGAGAGGGUGAUCGGCCACACUGGGACUGAGACACGGCCCAGACUCCUACGGGAGGCAGCAGUAGGGAAUCUUCCGCAAUGGACGAAAGUCUGACGGAGCAACGCCGCGUGAGUGAUGAAGGUUUUCGGAUCGUAAAGCUCUGUUGUUAGGGAAGAACAAGUGCAAGAGUAACUGCUUGCACCUUGACGGUACCUAACCAGAAAGCCACGGCUAACUACGUGCCAGCAGCCGCGGUAAUACGUAGGUGGCAAGCGUUGUCCGGAAUUAUUGGGCGUAAAGGGCUCGCAGGCGGUUUCUUAAGUCUGAUGUGAAAGCCCCCGGCUCAACCGGGGAGGGUCAUUGGAAACUGGGAAACUUGAGUGCAGAAGAGGAGAGUGGAAUUCCACGUGUAGCGGUGAAAUGCGUAGAGAUGUGGAGGAACACCAGUGGCGAAGGCGACUCUCUGGUCUGUAACUGACGCUGAGGAGCGAAAGCGUGGGGAGCGAACAGGAUUAGAUACCCUGGUAGUCCACGCCGUAAACGAUGAGUGCUAAGUGU